CCGGGGAGCCGGCCAACAUUGCCACACUCAAGAUGGCGGCACGGCCGCGGCGAGGUCCCUCAGAGGCGGUACCGACGCAUGCGCAGCGCGGAGUCCCGGCCCGGGACACAAGAUGGCGGCAGCGGCGCUGGGGAGGGCGAGGCGGAGGCGGCAAAACGGGCGGUCGAGCAGAACGUGUAGCCGCAUCCCCUCGAGUCCGCUUCGGGCAGCUGCUGAUGCACGGAGUCCCUUGAUUCCCUGUCAACUACACUGCUGACCAGCCCACCUACCUGUGCUGCAUCUUCCUGUGGUCCUCCCCCCUGCUUCUGUGGGACCCCGUGACGUGGGUUCAGUCCAGCCAGAGAAGAAAACCCUCUCAUGCUAGUGUUGCAGACCCCAGAGGGUGAGAGAAAAGGGACCUUAUUCAGCCUUGAAACCCAUGGGCUCAGCCCCAAAGGAGUCAUUCCAAACCUUCCUGUAAUCAAGGCCCGCUUGUUACACGUGUCCUGUUGCCGCUGCAAUUUUUAUGUGCCAAACUGUACAGAUAAAGUAACUAUUGAUUUUUCCCUUUCCAAAUUAACAGACGUCUUUGGGUGUACAAUAAAAUAAAUGUUCAAUGAU